UACGGGGGGAGCAAGCGUUGUCCGGAUUUAUUGGGCGUAAAGAGCUCGUAGGCGGCUUGUUGCGUCGACCGUGAAAACCCGUGGGCUUAACUGCGGGCUUGCGGUCGAUACGGGCGGGCUGGAGUUCGGUAGGGGAGACUGGAAUUCCUGGUGUAGCGGUGGAAAUGCGCAGAUAUCAGGAGGAACACCGGUGGCGAAGGCGGGUCUCUGGGCCGAUACUGACGCUGAGGAGCGAAAGCGUGGGGAGCGAACAGG
rnacentral:rRNA from 1 species